rnacentral:tRNA from 1 species
UACAGGAUAGCUAAGUGGUUAAGCACCGGAUAAAUUAUCCGGAGGUCGCGGGUUCGAAUCUCGCUCCAACCC